UACGGAGGGUGCAAGCGUUAUCCGGAUUCACUGGGUUUAAAGGGUGCGUAGGUGGGUUGGUAAGUCAGUGGUGAAAUCUCCAGGCUUAACUUGGAAACUGCCAUUGAUACUAUCAAUCUUGAAUACCGUGGAGGUCAGCGGAAUAUGUCAUGUAGCGGUGAAAUGCUUAGAUAUGAACAUAGAACACCAAUUGCGAAGGCAGCUCACUACGGGGUUAUUGACACUGAGGCACGAAAGCGUGGGGAUCAAACAGG
rnacentral:rRNA from 1 species